CUAAGUAGUUGUGCCGCAGGUAACCGAUCCGAGUGCUUACCUGCACACGCCUGCUUACAUC
rnacentral:pre_miRNA from 1 species